UACGUAGGGGGCGAGCGUUGUCCGAAUUCACUGGGCGUAAAGCGCGCGUAGGCGGGCUUUUAAGUUGUGGGUGAAAUCCCGAGGCUUAACCUCGGAGCUGCCUGCAAAACUGGAAGCCUUGAGGUUUGGAGAGGGAAGUGGAAUUCCAGGUGUAGCGGUGAAAUGCGUAGAUAUCUGGAGGAACACCCGUGGCGAAGGCGGCUUCCUGGCCAUAUCCUGACGCUGAGGUGCGAAAGCUAGGGGAGCGAACGGGAUUAGAUACCCUUGUAGUCC
rnacentral:rRNA from 1 species